AUUAAAUCUGUUUUUCUCUUAUUUAAAACAAAUGUCUUUCAAUAUUUAUCUUUUUGUAUUCCAUCUUUUCGUGCCCCGUCUUUCGCGCCAGAAGAAUUCAAUACUAAAUCGAAAUUUAAUUGAAAUUUGCGAAAAAAAUGUGGAGAAUGCAAUGCGUCUAGUACAUUUAUCUGUUAGGACCAAAUCUGUUUUUCUCUUAUUCAAAACAAACGUCUUUCAAUUUUUAUC